rnacentral:rRNA from 1 species
GGCCUACACAUGCAAGUCGAGGGGUAGAGGAAGCUUGCUUCCUUGAGACCGGCGCACGGGUGCGUAACGCGUAUGCAAUCUGCCUUGUACUGAGGGAUAGCCCAGAGAAAUUUGGAUUAAUACCUCAUAGCAUUAUGAAAUCGCAUGGUUUUAUAAUUAAAGUUCCAACGGUACAAGAUGAGCAUGCGUCCCAUUAGUUAGUUGGUAAGGUAACGGCUUACCAAGACGAUGAUGGGUAGGGGUCCUGAGAGGGAGAUCCCCCACACUGGUACUGAGACACGGACCAGACUCCUACGGGAGGCAGCAGUGAGGAAUAUUGGUCAAUGGACGCAAGUCUGAACCAGCCAUGCCGCGUGCAGGAUGAAGCAUCUAUGGUGUGUAAACUGCUUUUGUACGGGAAGAAACACUCCUACGUGUAGGAACUUGACGGUACCGUAAGAAUAAGGAUCGGCUAACUCCGUGCCAGCAGCCGCGGUAAUACGGAGGAUCCAAGCGUUAUCCGGAAUCAUUGGGUUUAAAGGGUCCGUAGGCGGCUUUAUAAGUCAGUGGUGAAAGCCCAUCGCUUAACGAUGGAACGGCCAUUGAUACUGUAGAGCUUGAAUUACUUGGAAGUAACUAGAAUAUGUAGUGUAGCGGUGAAAUGCUUAGAUAUUACAUGGAAUACCAAUUGCGAAGGCAGGUUACUACAAGUGGAUUGACGCUGAUGGACGAAAGCGUGGGGAGCGAACAGGAUUAGAUACCCUGGUAGUCCACGCCGUAAACGAUGGAUACUAGCUGUUCGGAGCAGUCUGAGUGGCUAA